rnacentral:rRNA from 1 species
CCCGGCGACCGCAAAAGCGGUCGUCCGGAUCGAUGAAGUGAGUAGUGAAUAGGCAGUAGUGAGUGGUGAAAACUCUCGCAUCUGCCCUCACAAGCUCAAAAGACGUGUUCAAAACUAAUCACUACCGACUAGUCACUAGUCACUCAGUGAACCAGCUUCUCAAAACAACAAAGUUGCGCUUUGCCGACCUGGUGGUUAUGGCGGGGUGGCUGCACCCGUUCCCUUUCCGAACACGGCCGUGAAACGCCCCUGCGCCCAUGGUACUUCGUCUUAAGACGCGGGAGAGUAGGUCGCUGCCAGGU